rnacentral:tRNA from 1 species
GGGCCGGUGGUCUAGCCAGGAAAGGACACGGGCCUCCGGAGCCCGUGACGUGGGUUCGAAUCCCGCCCGGCCCGCCA